AUAAAAUUUAUGACCGAUCAUUGUUUUUCACUAAGUGGAUUCUUCAACAGUUUUUCUUUUCACCAAAUCCAUUAAAUUUUAUUUAAAAUCAUACUAGUGGGAACAAGUCAAACAAACAUGUUUUUUCCUGGACGGAAUCCGGCCGCGGUGGACAAAUUGAUCUCUCCGGAGGAACCACCAGGGAACUUUAAUCGGCGUGGAUUCGGCCAUCAUCAGGCAUAAGCAGCUGUCAGUCAAUUAGGUGAUGCGGUGGAGAAAGAGGCAAAGACAAAAAUAAAACAUGCCAGAGCUGCUU